CAUACUAAUAGAAUACGGAAAAU
rnacentral:miRNA from 1 species